rnacentral:rRNA from 1 species
GACGAACGCUGGCGGCGUGCCUAAUACAUGCAAGUAGAACGCUGAAGGAGGAGCUUGCUUCUCUGGAUGAGUUGCGAACGGGUGAGUAACGCGUAGGUAACCUGCCUGGUAGCGGGGGAUAACUAUUGGAAACGAUAGCUAAUACCGCAUAAGAGUAGAUGUUGCAUGACAUUUGCUUAAAAGGUGCAAUUGCAUCACUACCAGAUGGACCUGCGUUGUAUUAGCUAGUUGGUGGGGUAACGGCUUACCAAGGCGACGAUACAUAGCCGACCUGAGAGGGUGAUCGGCCACACUGGGACUGAGACACGGCCCAGACUCCUACGGGAGGCAGCAGUAGGGGAUCUUCGGCAAUGGACGGAAGUCUGACCGAGCAACGCCGCGUGAGUGACGAAGGUUUUCGGAUCGUAAAGCUCUGUUGUAAGAGAAGAACGAGUGUGAGAGUGGAAAGUUCACACUGUGACGGUAUCUUACCAGAAAGGGACGGCUAACUACGUG